UAAAUUUUUUAUCCGGCUAAUCAUUCUGGAAAAGAAAAAACUCAAAGGGGGAGAAUACAGACUCAGAUAAUGACCUAAUAUUAAUGAAUAAUGUUCUAAACCACUAUUCGAUAAACAAAAAUUGGGGAAAAAAAAUUAUAAAAAAAAAAAAAUCAUAGUAUCUAGGUAAUGCAUAUAGCCUCGCGGCUAUACCGUUUAUUUAAAAAAAGACCCAGUAAAGCCGCCUGGCUGUACUCAUUUUAAUAAAAAAACAAGUCGGAGUAUAGCCGCCCGGCUAUACGAUUAAAGAACCCACCCUCGC
rnacentral:lncRNA from 1 species